GACGAACGCUGGCGGCGUGCUUAACACAUGCAAGUCGAGCGGUAAGGCCCUUUCGGGGGUACACGAGCGGCGAACGGGUGAGUAACACGUGGGUGACCUGCCCUCAGCUCUGGGAUAAGCCUGGGAAACCGGGUCUAAUACCGGAUAUGACUCCAUGACGCAUGUUGUGGGGUGAAAGCCUUGUGCGGCUGAGGAUGGGCCCGCGGCCUAUCAGCUUGUUGGUGGGGUGAUGGCCUACCAAGGCGACGACGGGUAGCCGGCCUGAGAGGGCGACCGGCCACACUGGGACUGAGACACGGCCCAGACUCCUACGGGAGGCAGCAGUGGGGAAUCUUGCGCAAUGGGCGAAAGCCUGACGCAGCGACGCCGCGUGAGGGAU
rnacentral:rRNA from 1 species